CAGAAUGGUACAAUGUUCACAUCUUGCUGAAUUUGUUUUAGCCUUUUUUUUUAAUUAAUGAAAUAAAACAUUGGUUCAGUUGAAUCUUCUGUGUACUAUCCUUGAGCCUAUUAGCCUCCUCCUUCUGAAAAUGAUUCUCCUGAACUGCAUGGAUCUUUCUCUGUGUUUUUAUGUUUUUACCACACCUAUGCGUGAAUCUCAGGUGCUCCCCCCCAUCCCAUCCCCACACAAAGAUCUGGGUUCCAGCUCCAACACUGCCACCAGAUGGCCAACUGUUCUUAGGCCAGUGGUCUAACCUCUCUGGGCUUCAGCUUCAUCAUCCCUUGUUAGAUGUGCUCUGCCUACCUCACGGGACUGGACUGCUGAGUGGAACAAAUGAGAGCCCAUGAGGUGUGUUCUCCUACCACAUAGUGGAUUUGUUAGGAAGUGACUGCCAGUCAUGGACUAACCCAAGGCCUUUUUUAUCAAGAGAAAACAGACACUAUGUGAUUAUGCUAGCUUAUGUCUGAAAGCAGCCAUGCAUGACUGAGCUGGGAAGACAAUGACUCAAGGGGAAGAAGGUCUUCAUAUGACCUAGCUGUCUCAGGCUCCUUUGCUGUGAUGAAACAGCUGCUGUGUUGUGAACUGCCCCAAGGAAAGGAGGGCAAUGGAACUGAGGGAGACCUCCACCAGCCGGCUUAAAGGACCUGAAUCCUGCCAACACCCACUGCAGUGACCUUGAAAGUGGAUUCUCUCCAAGUUAAGCCUUGAGAUGGUUCAAACACCUUGACUGCAGCCUUAUGAGAAGUCCUGAGUCAGAGGAUCCAGUUCAGCCACUGCCCACAGACUCCUGACUCACACUGUGAGAUACUAUGUUUGUUGCUCUAAGCUGCUAAGCUGUGGGGUAAAGCAGCCAUAGAUAGCUAAUAUAAACCACACAGUUUGUAAUAGUUGUUUAGUAUUCCAGUGUAAGGUUUACUCAAUCUUCUACUGUUGUGUGUUGCUUAUUUUAGUUUAUUUAUUUUGCUAUUAUAAACAGGGCAGUAAUGGAUAUCAUUGUAGCUAAAUCUCAGUACACAUCCUUCAUUCUUUCCUAAGGAUAAAUUCCUUGAAGUGGAAUAGCUGGAUUUCAAAGGGUUUUAACCUUUAAUGCUUUUGAGAUGCUAUUUCCCAGUUGCUUUCUGGUAGAACUGUACCCUUUUACACCUCUGCUGGCGGCAUUGUGGAGCGGCUGCUGCCCACACCCCAGGGCUUACGUUUCUGAGCCAUACUUUUGGUUAAGUUCAACCACUCUCUCUUGAGCUGUGUCUCUCUGCAAACCAGUUAGAAACAAAACCAAAACCAAAUCCAAAAACCCAAGAAUGAAGCCUAAGGUUGACUCUUCAAAAUUACUAUAGAUAAUCUGAUGCUAAACAGUUUCUUCAAAGUAUAUUGUUUUGAAGUCAGGCAGAUGAAUUCAACCACCCUCAAAUUGUUAUUCUUAUCUCUCAGUGAACACUGAACUUCUGAAAAGAUGAUGAUGCUCAAGUCCCCAAGAACUUUGAGAGGGAAAACCACAGUGCUAGUUGAAGUCAAAAUAAUAAUGAGCUAUUCUGAAAAUCUUAGUUUAUUUCAGUCACACAAAGGACUGUCAGUAAAUUCAACUUUCUAAAUUAGCUGGAUGAAUUCUAUAUUUUCUAUAUUUUACAUAUAGAUAUAGAUAUAGAUAUAGAUAUAGAUAGAUAUAAUUUAUUUUUUUAGUUUUGCAUACAUGGAUAUCACCACCAUUUCCAAAUUGCAACUUCACUGUUGGGGAAAGAAUAAAUAUUUUAAUGACUAUACAUUUUAACAGGCUUUGAACCCUGUGGUUGGUUUAAGCUAAGGGUGCAAUUUCAGGCAUCUAAAUAAGUAAAUAAAUGAGGAAGAAAAUCCA